rnacentral:misc_RNA from 1 species
GAGAAAUCCGAGAAGGGGAUGCUAGCGUUUUGGCACUAUUUUCCAGCACUGCCGGCGAUAUGGAAGGAAGCCUGGAGGUAGCCAAUUGUCAGGGAAAGUGCGGUAGGCAGCGGUGAUGGCUGUUGAUGACCAGAGGAAGAGGGAAAGAGAAGAAAGAAAUCAGGGAUGGGAGAAAACUCUCAUGGAAAAAGAAAGAAAAGGGACAGUUCAAUUCGC